AUUUAGCUGACGGGUCCCAAAUAAAACGGGACGCGCGUCCUAGAU
rfam:Schistosoma curassoni strain Dakar, Senegal genome assembly, scaffold: SCTD_scaffold0002018